CCCUAAUUCCACACUUCUUGCAUUUUCAGAAAACCUUGCUGCAGCCGUCAACCCCCUCUGCUAGGGUUCCGCCCCCGCUGUUACGUGAGCCAGGAAGUUCCGUUACUCCAUCCCUAUAGUGCAUCCUUGGAGCUGCCGUGCUCGUGGUCACAUAGUAGAGGUCUUCGCUAAGUUUUCCAGAUGGGCGAGGUUCUCAUGGUCAACAAGCGAAUGGUGAUUC